GUGUCAGCCGCCGCGGUAAUACGUAGGUGGCAAGCGUUGUCCGGAUUUAUUGGGCGUAAAGCGCGCGCAGGCGGUUCGUUAAGUCCGAGGUGAAAUCUCCCGGCUCAACUGGGAGGGGUCUUCGGAUACUGGCGGACUCGAGGAGUACAGAGGUGAGUGGAAUUCUGGGUGUAGUGGUGAAAUGCGUAGAUAUCCAGAGGAACACCAGCGGCGAAGGCGGCUCACUGGGUACCACCUGACGCUGAGGCGCGAAAGCGUGGGGAGCGAACCGGAUUAGAUACCCGGGUAGUCCACGCCGUAAACGAUGGGCACUAGGUGUGAGGGGUAUUGACCCCCUUCGUGCCGAAGCUAACGCAAUAAGUGCCCCGCCUGGGGAGUACGGCCGCAAGGCUAAA
rnacentral:rRNA from 1 species